AGUGGGAUAGCUAGGUCAAAUGGUGGUUCCAUUCCAAGUUUCCUAAAGAAUCUCCAUACUGCUUCCCAGAUUGAUUGCACCAUUUGCAGUCCCACCAGCAAU
rnacentral:pre_miRNA from 1 species